UACGAAGGGGGCUAGCGUUGCUCGGAAUCACUGGGCGUAAAGGGUGCGUAGGCGGGUUUUUAAGUCAGGGGUGAAAUCCUGGAGCUCAACUCCAGAACUGCCUUUGAUACUGAAGAUCUUGAGUCCGGGAGAGGUGAGUGGAACUGCGAGUGUAGAGGUGGAAUUCGUAGAUAUUAGGAAGAACACCAGUGGCGAAGGCGGCUCACUGGUCCGGUACUGACGCUGAGGUGCGAAAGCGUGGGGAGCAAACAGG
rnacentral:rRNA from 1 species